GUCUCGGAUAGCUUAAAUGGUAGGAGAAUUUGGCGCGUAACCAAAAGAUCCAGGUUCGAGUCCUGGUCUGGGCU
rnacentral:tRNA from 1 species